UGCACGAGCGUCCCUUUUCUCGUUUCGUUGUUUUUUCCGCGCACUCGGGUGUGAGAGGGAGUACUGUGUUGAUCAUAUUACAAGAGGAUCAGGUGCAGUUCUAUAUAGACAGGUGACGAGAAAGGGAAAGAAGAAUAUAUUUCAUGGGCUUAUUUAGGCUUUUCCAAACAAGGUUUUUCGUGGUGUGUUUAUAAGGAAAUAUUGGAUUGUGAUCGGAUGUCAGAGAUGGGCAAGAAGAGAGCCAAGAAGAAAUCGACCUCAGAAAUUUCUGGUGUGGAAUCAUCGGUUCAAGCCACAGCUUCACAACAUGGUGGAAGAAAGAGAGGCAGGCCUCGCAAAGUGGCAGCAGACGACGAGACAGAAGAAGAGGAGCUUAGGGAGGAGGAGGAAGAAUACAAGGAGCAAGCAAGGAGCGUAGGAGAUGAAGGGGAGCAGAAGGAACCCGAAGCAUCCUCCUCACCUUCUGCCAAGAAGGAAGAACUCACUGCAGAUCAAAACCAACAUCGACAAGAAGAUGAACCAGAGAGAAGAAAGAGAAAGAGUCGACAGCCUCGAAGGAGCUCUUGAACCCACUUACUCACUACAUGUCGUCUUCCAUCUUCUGCCAGUUUCCAUAACUUUGUUCUGUCUUCUAUUUGGGUGAAUCCAUGCAACUCUUCCUUUA